CCUACGGGUGGCAGCAGUGGGGAAUAUUGGACAAUGGGCGAAAGCCUGAUCCAGCCAUGCCGCGUGUGUGAAGAAGGCCUUCGGGUUGUAAAGCACUUUCAGUGGGGAAGAAAGCCUUGGGGCUAAUACCCUCGAGGAAGGACAUCACCCACAGAAGAAGCACCGGCUAACUCCGUGCCAGCAGCCGCGGUAAUACGGAGGGUGCGAGCGUUAAUCGGAAUUACUGGGCGUAAAGCGCGCGUAGGCGGUCUGAUAAGCCGGUUGUGAAAGCCCGGGGCUCAACCUGGGAACGGCAUCCGGAACUGUCAGGCUAGAGUGCAGGAGAGGAAGGUAGAAUUCCCGGUGUAGCGGUGAAAUGCGUAGAGAUCGGGAGGAAUACCAGUGGCGAAGGCGGCCUUCUGGACUGACACUGACGCUGAGGUGCGAAAGCGUGGGUAGCAAACAGGAUUAGAUACCCGGGUAGUC
rnacentral:rRNA from 1 species